rnacentral:rRNA from 1 species
CGGUGAGUAUGUCUGGGAACUGCUGAUGGAGGGGGAUACUACUGAACGUAGCUAAUACGCAUAACGUCGCAAGACAAAGAGGGACUUCGGGCCUCUUGCAUCAUGUGCCCAAUGGGAUUAACUAAUUUGUGAGGUACGGUCACAGUCUACAAUCUUUAGGGGCUGAGAGGGUGAUCCCAACUGGUACUGAGAACCGGGACCAAAUCCUACGGAGGCAAGUGAGAUAUUGACCAAGGGUGAGAGCCUGAUCCAGCACCCCGCGUGAAGGAAGAUGCCCUAUGGGUUGUAAACUUCCUUUUGUAUAGGGAUUAAACUACCCUCGUGAAGGGUAGNUGAAGGUAACUAUACAAAUAAUACACGGUAAUCCGGUGCCAACAACGCGGGUAAUACGGAGGGUGCAAGCGUUAUCCGGGAUUAAUUGGGUUUAAAGGGUCCGUAGGCGGAUCUGUAAGUCAGUGGUGAAAUCUUCACAGUUAAUGUUGAAAAUUGGCACAUUGGANNACAUGGAGGUUCUUGAAUUGUGGUUGAAAGUACCCUUGGAAUUAAGUAGUGUAGCCGGGUGGAAAUGGCAUUAGAUUUUACUUUUAAGAACAACCAAUU